rnacentral:rRNA from 1 species
UACAGAGGGUGCAAGCGUUGUUCGGAAUUAUUGGGCGUAAAGCGCGUGUAGGCGGCUUUGCAAGUCGGGUGUGAAAGCCCUCAGCUCAACUGAGGAAGUGCGCCCGAAACUGCAGAGCUUGAGUGCCGGAGAGGGUGGCGGAAUUCCCCAAGUAGAGGGGAAAUUCGUAGAUAUGGGGAGGAACACCGGUGGCGAAGGCGGCCACCUGGACGGUAACUGACGCUGAGACGCGAAAGCGUGGGGAGCAAACAGG